CCUACGGGAGGCAGCAGUAAGGAAUAUUGGUCAAUGGACGCAAGUCUGAACCAGCCAUGCCGCGUGAAGGAUGAAGGCCUCUGGAUUGUAAACUUCUUUUAUCUGGGGCGCAGUACCAGAUGAAUAAGCACCGGCUAACUCCGUGCCAGCAGCCGCGGUAAUACGGAGGGUGCAAGCGUUAUCCGGAUUCACUGGGUUUAAAGGGUGCGUAGGCGGGCUUUUAAGUCAGUGGUGAAAUCUUGGGGCUCAACCCCGAAACUGCCAUUGAUACUAUUAGUCUUGAAUGUCCUGGAGGUCAGCGGAAUAUGUCAUGUAGCGGUGAAAUGCUUAGAUAUGACAUAGAACACCUAUUGCGAAGGCAGCUGGCUACGGGACAUUGACGCUGAGGCACGAAAGCGUGGGGAUCAAACAGGAUUAGAUACCCUUGUAGUC
rnacentral:rRNA from 1 species